UGCACAGUGAACUCUGCAGACUCUGUGGAUGGUUCCUGUAAAUACAGCUUAAAACCGCAGUGGAAAAGCCACAUGCUCCUGAUACACUUGUGGGGACAUAAAGGGAAACCCACACACCCAAGGAGGCGGACUCUGGCCAUGCAAGGCUGAAGGCCCAGUGUACUGAUAUGGAAACUGAAGCUCAGAGAGAAGAGGCGAUGUUGCUUUCUUAACCACUGGAUUUGCAGUGCUGUGGUUCUCAGGAGAGGCCAGGACAGGUUAACCUACUCGCUUGGGAGGCAGGUCCGCAACUUCCUGUCUGGUGAUAAUGAUGUUUCCUUCAACCUCCUGAGCUCUCAGCCAGUCAUUGGGAGCUUGACACCUGAUUAACAGAAUCUGCCACGGCCUAGAAAAAAAUGGUUCCUUCCAGCUGUCAUGUCAGAUCAGGAAAUAGCUCUCGGGAAUUCUCCAACUCUUUAUUUCAUGGCUCAUCAGGUCAUUGGCUUCAGAACUUUCUACCACAUGCUGUAAGUCAAGACCUACCUUGACAGGUAGCACCCCCACACACUCCACUUCUUUUAGACUGAUGUAAUUUAAUCAUUUCAUUUUCUCUCUCCUCAAGAUGUCAAUCUGCUCCUUCCAUGGAGGCUUCUAGAUGCUCUUGUGUUGACCUCUUAGUGAGCUUUCUUCUUUUCUUUGGUAAUAGUGACGUGAAAUUGGUUCUUUCUCUUUCUCUUGAAUAUUGAAAUGGGCAUGUGACCUGACAGCAUCCUUCAAUCUUUUCCUGGAUCCUUCUGCCUUCUUAGGAAUAUGAUCACCAUUCCUUGGUUCUCCUAAUCCCAAUUUCUCACUCAAGUCCUUUUCUCAGGGACAAGCUGCCGCUUCAUUGAUCUUGAGUCUGUCUUCCUGCCAAGACAUGGCCUGAUUCUUCAUAGAAGACAUAAAUGUCGCUCUGGUCAGCUUGAAUCUUUUUUCAGUUUCUCCUGUUAGUUUGAAGUGUGCUUUAGCUUCUUGCAUGUAUGGCUCAAUGGCUUUUUGUGCCUGGUGUAAAGACUGCAUCUUUCUUGCUGUCUCAGACAUCAGCCGUUUUUGUUCUGAACAAUGAGGGUUUACUUUUCCUGUGUCUCACCACAAUGCAUAUGAAGUUCCUCUUCACAGGCUUGAACCCAUCCAAGUCAUCAGUUACUUCUGACUCUUCCUUUUCCUCCACCCCAGGAUGAAACUUGCCAAGAUCAUUACAUUUGACUACUGCUAGUGCUAAAUUGCUACUGGCAGGUCCCUUGUCUCUUGAUCAAGAAAGACUUCUUUGAAUUACUAAACAAUUUUGCCUACAAACAAGAGAACUAGGAAUACCUGGACUAUCAAAAUACACUCUUCCAUCUCCCACUGAUAUACAGGGACAGUGAGAUUUGCUCUCACAUCAUCAGGGACUUCUGCGAUGAAAUCCUCCAGUGUCUCAUGGGUUGGACAAGAGUACACAUCCCAGCAGAAUGAAGCUUCUCCAUAGUGGCCCAGUCUGAUGCAGAGGUACCUAGGGCCACCCCGGCCAGUAGGCCCACACCACACCAUGAAAAUGAUGCUUCUGGUUUUCACUCAGAAUCAAACCUGCACUGGGCAACCAGGGCAAACCAUGUCUGCUGAGGGUGGGUGGGCAGGCCCAAAGCAAUCAAGAACUCUCAUAUCCUCCCUCAUAUCCUUGGCUCUUUCUUUCAUUACUUCAACUUCUUUAUCUGGAGCUUAACAAGGACUCUAAUAUAUUAUGCACACUGUUUACUCAGUCUGGAAAGCUGCUCAUAACAUUUGUCCUAUGUGGGGCACAUCCCUGUCUUGUGACCACAGUUCUCUCACUCCAGCGACUCCAGUGGCCUCGGUUGGGCCUGGCCGUGAUGAGCUGCACAGUACUCCAUGCGUAUUUGUGGACGGAAUCGGUGAACAAGCAUUAGAAUCAAUGGAAGAAGGCCAGAGUUAUCCCUUGCCUUCUCUGGAAAGUCACACCUAAUUCUCUGCAGACCCAGCAAACAGUUUACUAGAAAAAUUGCAUUCCAGUGGAGGCAAACAGAGUAACGUAUUUGAAAAGCAUGAACUAAUGGUGAACAUCAGAAAACCACAAGCAACUGCUGCUUCUCUACUAAUUAUAGCUUUAGCCCUCUUUGGUCCUCUCCAGUUCUAGGAAAAGAAAAUGGCAUUCAAUCCUAUUAUCCCUGCUUCCUGGCAGCACCCAGACCAGAUCAGACUUACACUUUCUUCACUGCCCACCUAACCAAAAUCACAAAGCACAAGCCCAAAUUCCAUACAAGUUCCCUCCUAACUAACUAUGACUGUGUGGUCCCGUGGUUCCUCCUGUGGUAUAGUCUGCCUUGAUGCAAGUACCAGGAAAAUAAACUUUGCUUCAUGACA